AUCAACUUUCGAUGGUAGGAUAGAGGCCUACCAUGGUGGUAACGGGUAACGGGGUGUUAGGGCACGACACCGGAGAGGGAGCCUGAGAAACGGCUACCACAUCCAAGGAUGGCAGCAGGCGCGCAAAUUACCCAAUCCCGACACGGGGAGGUAGUGACAAUAAAUAACAAUACGGGGUCCUUUCGGGUUUCGUAAUUGGAAUGAGUACAAUUUAAAUCUCUUAACGAGGAACAAUUGGAGGGCAAGUCUGGUGCCAGCAGCCGCGGUAAUUCCAGCUCCAAUAGCGUAUAUUAAAGUUGUUGCAGUUAAAAAGCUCGUAGUUGAAUUUCGGGAUCAAUACGUCGGUCGUGCCUCCGGUAUGUACUGGUGUUAUUGAUUUCUCCCUUCUGAUGAACCAUGAUGUCAUUAAUUUGGUGUUGUGGGGAGUCAGGACUGUUACUUUGAAAAAAUUAGAGUGUUUAAAGCAGGCUCACGCUUGAAUACAUUAGCAUGGAAUAAUGAAAUAGGACGUUCGAUCCUAUUUUGUUGGUUUCUAGGAUCAACGUAAUGAUUAAUAGGGAUAGUUGGGGGCAUUAGUAUUCAAUUGUCAGAGGUGAAAUUCUUGGAUUUAUUGAAGACUAACUACUGCGAAAGCAUUUGCCAAGGAUGUUUUCAUUAAUCAAGAACGAAAGUUAGGGGAUCGAAGACGAUCAGAUACCGUCGUAGUCUUAACCAUAAACUAUGCCGACUAGGGAUCGGAUGAUGUUAAUUUUUUAAUGACUCAUUCGGCGCCUUACGGGAAACCAAAGUGUUUGGGUUC
rnacentral:rRNA from 1 species